GACGAACGCUGGCGGCGUGCUUAACACAUGCAAGUCGAGCGGAAAGGCCACUUCGGUGGUACUCGAGCGGCGAACGGGUGAGUAACACGUGAGUAAUCUGCCCCUGGCUUUGGGAUAGCCACCGGAAACGGUGAUUAAUACCGGAUACGACCACUUCUCGCAUGGGAUGGUGGUGGAAAGUUUUUUCGGCCAGGGAUGUGCUCGCGGUCUAUCAGCUUGAUGGUGAGGUAAUGGCUCACCAUGGCUUCGACGGGUAGCCGGCCUGAGAGAGUGACCGGUCACACUGGGACUGAGACACGGCCCAGACUCCUACGGGAGGCAGCAGUGGGGAAUAUUGGACAAUGGGCGGAAGCCUGAUCCAGCAACGCCGCGUGAGGGAUGACGGCCUUCGGGUUGUAAACCUCUUUCAGCAGGGACGAAGCGCAAGUGACGGUACCUGCAGAAGAAGCACCGGCCAACUACGUGCCAGCCGCCGCGGUAA
rnacentral:rRNA from 1 species